rnacentral:misc_RNA from 1 species
AACCUUAUGGACCUGCGGGCGUAUACCUGCGGAGGGAUCAUUACCGAGGAUUCUCGGACAGGCACAGCGCCGGUCCGCCUCUCGACACUGUGCGUAUGCAAGUUAUUGAGUUACACGGGAGUAGGACGUGUCUAAACCCCUACUCGAAGCAAACAAAGCAAAAACUUUUAACAACGGAUCU